rnacentral:tRNA from 1 species
AAAAGAGUAGUUUAAUAAAAAUAUUAGGUUUCGGCCCUUUAGUUUUUGGUUAAAGUCCAAACUUUUUUU